rnacentral:rRNA from 1 species
ACGCUCGACACCUACGAGAGGCAGCAGUGGGGAAUAUUGCACAAUGGGGGAAACCCUGAUGCAGCAACGCCGCGUGAAGGAAGACGGUUUUCGGAUUGUAAACUUCUGUUCUUAGUGAAGAUAGUGACGGUAGCUAAGGAGCAAGCCACGGCUAACUACGUGCCAGCAGCCGUCGGUAAUCUGAGGCGGCGUGGCAAGGC